rnacentral:rRNA from 1 species
UACGAAGGGGGCGAGCGUUGUUCGGAAUUACUGGGCGUAAAGGGCGCGUAGGCGGCCUUCUAAGUCGAACGUGAAAUCCCCGGGCUCAACCCGGGAACUGCGUCCGAUACUGGAAGGCUUGAAUCCGGGAGAGGGAUGUGGAAUUCCAGGUGUAGCGGUGAAAUGCGUAGAUAUCUGGAGGAACACCGGUGGCGAAGGCGACAUCCUGGACCGGUAUUGACGCUGCGGCGCGAAAGCCAGGGGAGCAAACGGG